CAUAUACUCCCUCAGUUCUAAAUUUCUUGUCUUACUUUUGUCAAGGAACGAACGUAUCUAAAUUCUAAAAUUUAAUUAGAUACAUUCAUAUCUAAACAAAUAUAAGACAAGAAUUUUAGGACGAUGGAAGUAUGUC
rfam:Hordeum vulgare subsp. vulgare, WGS project CAJW01000000 data, contig: morex_contig_1573678